rnacentral:rRNA from 1 species
GUCGGGUCUUCAUUGACUUGGUAACGUAGCUAACGCGUGAAGUUGACCGCCUGGGGAGUACGGUCGCAAGAUUAAAACUCAAAGGAAUUGACGGGGACCCGCACAAGCGGUGGAUGAUGUGGAUUAAUUCGAUGCAACGCGAAAAACCUUACCUACCCUUGACAUGUAUGGAAUCCUGCUGAGAGGUGGGAGUGCCCGAAAGGGAGCCAUAACACAGGUGCUGCAUGGCUGUCGUCAGCUCGUGUCGUGAGAUGUUGGGUUAAGUCCCGCAACGAGCGCAACCCUUGUCCCUAGUUGCUACGCAAGAGCACUCUAGGGAGACUGCCGGUGACAAACCGGAGGAAGGUGGGGAUGACGUCAAGUCCUCAUGGCCCUUAUGGGUAGGGCUUCACACGUCAUACAAUGGUCGGAACAGAGGGUCGCCAACCCGCGAGGGGGAGCCAAUCCCAGAAAACCGAUCGUAGUCCGGAUCGCACUCUGCAACUCGAGUGCGUGAAGCUGGAAUCGCUAGUAAUCGCGGAUCAACAUGCCGCGGUGAAUACGUUCCCGGGUCU